UUCCGCUUCAGCCAUUACCACGAGCCCGCCCUCCAUCCUCCCCAAUUAAAUGGAAUGACAUCAAACACAUGGAAGCCAUGUGUUUAAUGUAUUGACACCAUUCCACCAAUUCCGCUUCAGCCAUUACCACGAGCCCGCCCUCCAUCCUCCCCAAUUAAGGUGCCACAAAACUCCUGUGGGUUGUCCAUUUCAACAGGAUGCAACCGUAACAGACCCGUAACAGACGGUCCAUGAAGCGGUGUAUGUGAACAACAUUUCAAAUUCUACCAACGUCACCAGAGUCAAGGGGAAACUGUGGCUGACUACAUCAUUGCUUUGAAAAGACUGGCAGGUACAUGUGAGUUUGCACAAUUUCUUGAUGAUGCUCUCCGAGACAAGUUUCUAUGUGGUCUCACAAGUGAAGCAUAUCACAGAAGGCUUCUGUCAGAGAAGGACCUGACUUUCAAGAAAGCCUGUGAUAUCGCACUUGGACUCGAACUUCCCCACAGGGCUACAAUUGAGCUAUCAGGACACGCAGAACGUCAGAAAGGAUUUCACAAGGUCAGUGACACACGUGGAGGAAGAGGCUCACAAAAGUCACACUUUUCUCAGUCCCGUCCUCAAGGCUACACAAGAACACAGCAGCCUAUAUCACAAAGGACUAAGCCAUGUUGCUACAGAUGUGGGGGAGAUAAUCAUCAGCACAGUGAAUGCCGAUUCCAAAAUGAAAAGUUCCACAAUUGUGGAAAGGUUGGACAUUUACAGAGAGUAUGUAAAGCUCCAAAAUGCACAGCAAGAGCGCAUAAGGUGUCAGACGCAGCACAAGAAGAGGAAGGCACAGCUGGAUCAGUAUUGGAACUGUUCACAGUGUACACAGCUCAACAACAAAAAGAUGGAAUUAUCUCAACAUGGAGUUAGCUGGAAAUCUGGAGCGUCUGUAUCUCUUGUUCCUGAGAGAAUCUACAAAGAAAAACUGAACGAGUGCCCUCUUCAGCCAACUUCCAUCCGCCUUUCACCAUACACUGGUGACACUAUCCCUGUGUUAGGGCAGAUCCACGUACCAGUCUGGUAUGAGGGGAAGGAGUGGACGCUACUGCUUAUCAUUGUUAAAGGAGAGAUACCAGCCUGCUAGGCAGAAACUGGUUACCGAACAUCAAGCUGAACUGGGGAGAAAUCAUUAGUCUGAGAAAUGACAAACCAGUGAGUCAGGCUACACUCACUAACAUGCUGGAGAAGCACAAAGAUAUUUUUAAAGAUUGUUGCUGUUCGCAACAAGCCUGCUACUGCACCUCUUCAUCCAUGGUCCUGGGCUGCUACACCAUAGGAAUGCAUCCAUGUGGAUUACACUGAGAAUGACAAUCAACAUUUCCUUGUUGUCGAUGCCCAUUCCAAAUGGAUGGAAGACCAUCAAUCUUCUCAGACACCUGUUUGCAUCCUUUGGACUAGUCAAGGAAUUUGUCUCGGACAAUGGCCCUCCUUUCACGUCGAUUUCGAAAUGUUUCUCAAGAACAACAGAGUAAGGGGCAUCCUAUCACCACCUUACCAUCUGGCAUCAAACGGAGCAGCGGAGAGAGCCGUGCAAACCUUUAAGAAGGCCUGGACCGGACUCAGGUGGACCUCAGGUGUGAUCUUGCAACGCAGAGAAACUUUGACUUACCACGUCCAAGUUGGUUAUCGCCAUGUCAAUGUUCAUGUGGAUCAUAUGCUAUGGUCCAACGCCCCGGCAGAGACAUGCAGAGAGAACAAGGACAAUAACGACCCCCGGGACUAUUCUCCUGACUGUGGACGUAUGGGAGAGACAGAGCCUGACCUUCCACCUAAACCUGUCCCACCACCGGUAGCCAAGGAGGAGCGAAGAUAUCCUGUUCGACAGUGAAGGGCACCUCAAAGCUUGACCUGUGAGUUGAGCUGUUUCAGGAGGUAACGAACAGUAAAACAAACAAACACUUUAAUAUGUCCUAGAUAAAAAGAAAGAAAAAGGACAUUACCUGGAUUAGUUAUUUGGACACAAGUUCCAUCUUUGGGGCGGAAUAAUACCCUGGAUUUGUGCUGGACUCUGGAAAGUCUGCUUUAACCCUUUAGUUGAGAAAUGUUUAAAAAUGCAUUGUUCAGAUAUUGCAUUAGUAUUUACCUUGUUGUCUAGGAGUUACACACUACGGGGGGAGGAGUGUAGCAUCGGUGAUCUAUAUCUGUCUAUAUUAGUUACUAUGCUGUUACUAAGCAGUAAUGUAUUACGGCAGUGUUAUGUUACAACACCUAAUAGAUUGUGCACAUGCACAGUUUUGGGCCGGGGAGCUGUAGGGCACGAGAUGUCUUUUUUUGUGUUUUUUUUGUAAAUAUAUAUAUCUAUACAGUAUGCAUACAUACUGUAGGGCACGAGAUGUCUUUUUUGUGUUUUUUUUGUAAAUAUAUAUAUCUAUACAGUAUGCAUACAUACAUAUAACAAUAUACACAUAUACAGUGGGGAGAACAAGUAUUUGAUACACUGUCGAUUUUGCAGGUUUUCCUACUUACAAAGCAUGUAGAGGUCUGUAAUUUUUAUCAUAGGUACACUUCAACUGUGAGAGAUGCAAUCUAAAAUAAAAAUCCAGAAAAUCA